AGUGCCCACCACCAACACCACUCUUCUGUACGCAUCUCGCGUGAGCUUCCUCUUUCUUUACCCUAUUUUCCGUGUCUUCUUUGCUGAAGGAAAUUGUCCUUUUCCUCUUCCUUUAUCGAAACGUGCCGUGCACACGGCGGCACACUCGCACGCGUCACACACAUCAGCGCAUGCCCGCCUCGUUGCGUAAAAAUCUGCAACGGUCCCCGGCGGACACGCAGCCACGUGCUGCUGCAGGAGGCGCCGCCGCAGACCACGCGGUGCCACCAGCGACAGGAAAGGCUGGCUUCUCCUCCGCGGGUGCCUCGAACCCCCUGCAGGCAUCACUUACACAAGAGCGUGGUGGCAGCAGCGACACGUCGGCAGCUCCCAGUCCUUCUGGCCUACCCCCAUCCGGUGGCCACGGUGAUGCCAUGGGCAUCACUUCUCCAUCGGUCGCCACUUUCAAGCGCCCCGGGCUCGCUCCUUUCCGCCCGCCCUCCGUUCUCCAGGUGAACGUGGCCGCUCGGUCAGCAGGUGUGGCUCGAGGGGGCGGGGCGGGUGGCCAAAGCCCCUCCUUUUCACCUCAGCAGCAUCAGCAGCAGGGGGCUAGCGGAACCUCCCCGCCACUAUAUCGGUGCAGCCUCGAUGGCACAAUCCCGUGCCCCGCUCUUCCCUCGGCAACUGCCAUGGCAGGAGGGACAGGAGACGGCGGCGCAGCUUCAUCGUCUGGGCCUUCUAGUACGCUCACAAGCGGCAUGUCCGUCUCGGGCCUGUCAAACCACCUUCGCCUCAGCGAGGGCCUGAGCUGCCUCGACUACCAUCCAACCUUUCGCGCGCUGGCGAUCGGCAGCACUCGUCAGAUUCACGUGGUGGAAGUGAUCGCAAUAGUGGGCCACGACGUGGCGGCCGCAGUGCGGCUGCACCGACAGCAGCAGCAGCGACAGCAACAGGCAAACACGAAUGCAAUCACGCCAUCAGACGGCGAGCGCGCUCACGCUUCCCUCGGCACCGCGGCUCCGUCUGACCUCCCUGCGUCGCCGCCGCCGCCGCUAGGGCCUGCGCCCUUUUUGAUGCGCAAUACCGGUGUCUUCGGCGGCCUCAACAAGGUGGAGAGCGUCGCGUGGUACCCGAGCACUGAGGAGGCCUCUCUGGCCUUCAUUCAGCCGGCGCGAACAGUGACCAUCUUCCUCGACGCCAUCCAGUUCAAGGCGGACGGUACGUACCUCCCGCAGCAGUGGACGCGUUCGCAGUACAAAGGCAAGACUCUCACCUCCGCCAUGGCUGCUGGCGGCGGCUCGACGGCGAUGGCGGUCGUGACAAACCUCGACUGCGCCUCGGGCGGGAUCACACCGGCAGCCUCCACGACCAGCCUGGGCGGUAGCUCCGGGCUCUACACACCUGCCUCCGCGUCACUGGUCAGCUCCCUUUCCUACAGCGCCGCCUCCGUCUCCCAAGGCAGCGCGCCGCACGAGACGAGCUUUUCCACGCCUACCAGUUCAGGUUUCUCCACAACGGGGUUUGCGGCCAGAAACCUGCCCCAUGCUGUGCGCAACCUGAAAGGGCCGCUGGCGAAGGAGCUGAUUGAGCUGAACAUCGACAUCACGUACAUGCGAGUGGAGAAGAUCGUCUGGGAUCCGCACCACCCCUACACUCUCGCUCUCAGCUCUCCAGCGACCCACUUUGAGGUGUGGCAGGUGCCCACGGACGGCUGGCGCGUCUACGCGCCCCAGCUGGUGCUGCGACCGCCAGCGCACAACACGCGCAGCGUCGUUCGAGACAUCGCCUUCUCACCGUCCAACCCCGAUCUCAUUGUCGUGGUCACGGAGUGCGGCAACGCCGGACAGGUGCUGCUCUAUUAUCGUCGUCAAGUGGAGGCGAAGCGGUGCUUCGACAUUAGCGGCCCGGGCCUGUCCGUCGCCUUCCACCCGAUCUUCUCCGACCUUCUCGCCGUGUGCUUCCGCCGCGAGAAGGCAAAGCCUGACACACGCAUAUCAUUCCUGCAGGUCAUGCCCGUCGGUGGCGCCGCCGCUGGAUGGUUGUCGGGGGUCUCCACGGCCGCAGCGACAGCGGUACCCGCCACCUCAUCAGAGACCGAAGGAAGCCCACUAGCUGCCUCGUCGGCGUUAGCAUCUGCUGCCACUGCCCCUGAAAGUGCAGACGCAAGCUUCAUGGCCAAGAUGGUUCCUGCGAGCACGUCGUCGUAUCUCGCCGAGCAGCCGUAUCUGCCCCAUAUCGACAACUACGUGUGCAUCAGCCGCAUACGAUGGCGACCCUCAUCCAUGGGAAGGCUUACGGAGCCGAAGCGGCACCAUUACAUGUCUUUCACGCCCUCUGCCCAGGCGCUCUUGGCGGCAUGCAACUUGCCCAACUCAACUGUCCCGUCCGCCCCUGGCGCCUUCACCUGGGUUGACCUGCUGCACUCGCAGCUAUGGUUCGCAUCGGCGGCGAUGACGACCGACACAGACCUUUCCAUCUGGGAUGCCACCAACGGCUUUUUUCCUGUGUGCGUCGUCAAGCACCUCGCCCCGCGCGGUGACACGACGACCAACGAGUCGAACGACUUUGCGUGGCUCAAUGAGCUGACACUGGUGACAAUUUUCAAGAGCGGCGACGUGGUCUGCACCAGUCUUCUGAACAGCCUCCCAGAAGAUUCCGUCAUGACCAGCGCCGAGCGGGUGCAGCUGCGGGCAGUGAAGCCGCAGCAACAGCAGCAGCUUCACCGGCUACGCCAGCAGCUUGAUUCCAAGUCGAGAGAUGAACUCGGCGAGCUGUACAGUAAGCGAAUCGCAGAGGAAGAGGCAUGUCUGGCCAUGCUGCCGGCGUAUGUGCGCGACCCGUUCGCGGAUCUACUCACCACAUUCACCGUUCUGCCGACUACCUCCAUCGUGUCCGACCUUUUCGGGCACUCCUACACCAUUCGCAACACUAACGCGGCCCUGCGGCGCCACUACCAUCAGAUGAUCCGACGCGAGUGCGGGCAGCUUGUUCGCCGUCUUGCCAUUCAGGUGUCGAAGGAAGCCGUACUACGCCAGCAGUGGACGAGCAGGCGGCACCAGCUCUCCGGCGUCAGUCCCUCCACUGGGCCCGGCAUGGCGAGUGGCCUCGCGGCCCUGCAGGAACAGCGGUCGCGCCGCCCACGCUCGCCAUUCACGCAGACGGGCGGCCUCCGCGGUCGAGCCACGUCGUCGCAAGGCUCCAACUCGACGCCGCCGAGCCCGCAGUGCAGAAUGUUGACGCGGCGAUGCUCGGUUGCCACCCCCUCGUCGUCGACUGGUGGGCAGCACAUGCCCGUAGCGCCGAUCUGGGGAGAAGGCACGAGCGGCGGGCCUGCUGGCAGUCGUGGAUUGGGUGGUGGAGGCGGCACCGCGGCCGACGCCAUCGGACUCCCCCAGCACCCGCCCUGGAGCCUGGAGGACGUGAGCGAGGCGGGAAUGGUCUCCCCGCAGCACUCCCGAGAACUGAGGCGCCACCCCAGCAAUGCGGGCGCUGGCGGCGGUGUCAGCAGCGCCUCGCCCCAUCCCUACCUCGGCGUCCAUCACGAUGGAGGGAUGGAAGGUCAGCCUGUGAGGGAUGCUGAGGCGAGCGGCCACGUCUCUUCUCCGUGUCCCGAGGUGACGCAUGUGGAAGAAGAGGCAGCAGCGGCUACUGGACGCGUUGGCCGCAGCUCCUCUCGCGCGUCCUCCGCAGUCGCUUGGAUCAAGCGACUGUUGGGCGCUUCAUGGCGAGAGCGAUUGAGUCGAGACCGGUCCAGCGAACCCCGUGAUCAGUGCAUCUUCCACUCACCAGGCCGUUCGCAGGUGAAAGAUGCAGCUCUCGUCAUCAACUCUAGCGACGACGGCCCUGCGGUCUUGGCUAGCGUGCUUGACGUCACACCGAGCCUGAGUGUUGUACCAUCGUCAGACGAUGUCGCAGCUGUCUCCCCGCCUCCGUCGCGUUUGCGUCAGCUGCCACCUUGUGGAGCCGCCUGUGGUAGUGGUACCUACGGUUCGUCUGGUCUUGGUCCAGCUCAGUCCACAGCCACAUCGCCGAUCAGCGUCAUACACAUCGACAACAGUGGUAGCAGCUGUGGAAGUCCACACCAGCUUGCCCCGACAGCGCCGGCCGCCCAAGUACACGCGGCAGCGGCACACAGCUUCCCUGCGUACCCUGGCGCGUCGACGAGCGCCAACGCUUCCGUGAGCUCCGCAUACUCCCCACAGCAGCAACGCGUCGGCAGCGGUCGUGGUGGGCCCAGUCCUUCCUCACUCUUGCUCACAAGCUCCUCUCUCGGGGCUCCUCCCUCGGUGCCCGGUGACCUCGACAUCGUCGGAGGCGGCAGCGGCGUUGUCUUCACGCAACUCUUCCCGCUGUUGAAUGAGUGCGUGCGCGUGUGCAGCGGCGGCGGUAGUGGUGGCAGCUGCAAGGCCCGCGGGAAGUGCAAUGUCAGUGAAGAACCACGAGUGUCACGCUUCUCCCUCAGUGCUGCUAAGACGUCAGCGCCGGUUGCCAGCGUGGCGUCUCUCUCAGUGGCACCUGCUAGCCUCGACAACUCACCCACGUUGGCGGCGGCCUCUGCUUUCCGCCACGACCUGCCUGCAGUUCUGUUCUCCUCCGCCUUGCACCCAUCCAGCGCGGAGCUCAAGUCAGAAACAGCCACCACGUCUCCACUGCUGCUGCCGCUUUCGAUACUGGCCUCGGCGGGAAGUCGCGUGUCCGGCGGUGCCGUCGUGCCCACGCGCUCGGCGAGCGCGGCCUCCCAGCUGAUGCCAGCGCAUGUCUAUCUAGCCUCGCAGAGAGUCGUCACCGUGGCCGUGGAGAGCUUUGUGCUGAGCGAUGCGGUGUGCGGCUGGUCGUACCUGGAGAAGCAAGCGGAGCAGCUCGCCUUCGUGCGCUUUGCGCUCGAGUGGGACAUGGGCUACGAGCUGGCGCUGGCCAUGAAAGCCCUGCGGCACAAGCGCACAGACGCUGAAGCGGCGGCAGAUGAGACGGCGCCGCACAGAGCCGAUCCUAUGCCUACAGCGCAGCCUCGCGACCCUGCCCGCUCGCAGACUUCCUCGCGCGAAGUAGCGGCACACAGCGCCCAUACCUCGAGCGCUCUCCCGCGCUCGUUGUGGCGCAGCAGUAGCAGCAGCAGCGUAGGCGGUCGCCAAGAUGUCGAGUGGAGGUCACAGCAGCGGAAGACCACAGAGCCGUACUGCCCACAGCUUAGCGGCACCUACUCUGGUGUUGCAGCUGGCCGAGAGCGACGUUGUGUGGGCAACAGCAGCACACGUGGGCCCCCACACGUGCGUUCUGGUGCGCCAAGUGCUGAUCCGACUCACAUGGUCGACUGGGGAUACGGGGUGCCGGUGCCAAGUCACGAGGAUGUUGAUGACAAGGUCGCGGCCAUGAUGGAAGAAAACGCGCGCAUCUGUGAGCGAGUGAUGCGCCAGCGGUGGGAGGCCGGCUGUGCCGGUUUCGCGGGCGGCGGUGCUCACAUAAAUCGGCGUCCAUCGCAAGGCGGGGACGACAGUGGGGUCGACGUGUCAGGCAGUCCCGCGUGGUCCUCUGGCGACGCCGCAACGACACUGAAUGACGUAGAAGGUGUCGAGGUAGGUCACACGGACGCCGCACUCGCUGCAGAGUUGUCGAACGCGGCCGCCUACGAUCCGCGCGCGCAGUGGUGGCGCGCUGCCGCUCAUGCCUGGCGCUCACAUCAUGUCUCUUUCAUCAUAUCCAUCACUUCACAGCAGCUUGAGUACGCGUCGCUCAUGGGAGACGUGCAGUACAGCCUCGUUCUGUACAUCCUCUUUUGCCUCUGGUGGCGCCUGCACAGCGAGGUUGCGGAGGCGACAUACGCGAUGGCUCUCGAAGCACGCGCUCGUCGACACUACGUUGGCAGUGGAGUGAGCCGUGACGGUAGCGCUGGUGCGCGAGACAGUCACCGAGCUGCAGCACCGCAGGAGCGCAGCCCUCACAACAAUGCAGGGCCUCGUCACCGACUGCGCGCUGUCGCGCUCGCUCCAGGGAUAGCGGCGGAAGGAGAGGAAGGCGACGGCAGAGGUGGGCCGGGCGCCUCAGAGGCCGCGGCUGACCCCCUCCCCAGCACCGCUGCGCCGCCGCUACGAAGCCCGUCAACGGACGACGACGACGACGAUGCGGGGGGAACGCGAAUCGGCCUCCACUGUGUCAGUGACGUCACAGACAGCGACGACGGCGAAUACGCCACCGACGGCAAGAUACCGUCGCUGGAAGAGGUGGAUGAGCUCCGUCGGCUCUGCCUCUUUUUUCUUCGAUGCCCGCUGAUGCCGCUCUCCCCUAACCUAGCCUCGCAUCAUCUGCAUAAACAACCUCAUCCGCAUCUGCGUCAAUCCGCCAGCGUCGACGCUCUCUCCUCUGUAAACGGAGGCGGCGCUGAGCCGGAAGACCGCGCCGGGAAUGUCAGCUCACCUAUGGGUGGCCUCUCUUCCAUAGCAAUGCUGGCAGGCGGCGGUGGUGCGCCACGGCUGACGGGGGGAUCCGAUAUUGUCGGCAGCCUUGGCAGCGGAGGUUUGUUGCGAGCCUCGGCCUCGACGAGCAGUCUUCCCUCGCGCAGCCACAACAACAGCUCACGACGCCUCAACGACACACCACCAGCAUCUGCCGUGGUCGGCAGCCUCGGUGGCGGUGGUACUGCGCCCCCCAGCUACCGAGCACACGCCAUGUCCCCCACGCCACAGGCUCUGCACCGGCCUGACAACAACGCCAAUGGUAACCGCGCUGGUGUCAGGCAGGGGGCAGCCACGGGUGGCAUAACGCUGGAGUCGCGCAAUGCGUACGCGGACUUGGAAGGGGUGCGUGGUGCGUGGAUGAACGCCCGCAAUGCUGAGGAUCUGUGCACCACACCGGACUACUGCGCGCCGGAGGAGUGGAAGAUACGCGCCCUUCAGUGGCUGGAGACCUACACCGCAGACUUGUACGCGCGCCAGCUCUACGUGCCGCUCAACGAGCUCCUCCUCGUUAUGCCGGAAAUCUUUCGCGAGCCGACGAACCCAGUGCUGCCGCGCGCUGCGGACAUCGCGUACGAGAAGCAGAUGACCUAUGUGUACUGCGGCACCUGCUCAAAGGCGGAGCUGUGGAGCCGAACCCAACAGGACGCCGUUCCUGCCGCAGUGCGGUUGUACGAGCUAGUCGUGCGUCGUGGCCGCCACAGCAGCAGCAGCGAAGAGGAAGGAGACGACAGCAACAGCAACAGCGGCGUCAGCAGCGCCACGAAGGCGAUAGGUGCCGGCAUGCGACGGUCGCGGCGCAAGGGACACGGCGAACACCACCACGCUACGGCAGCGAUUCGAUGUGGUUCGGAAAUGUACUACCACAGGGACGAUGGCGACUCGUCGUCUGUCGCGACAACGCCGUCGGUGGAGUCGCCGACGUCCUCGAGCCCUUCGGUCGCUGCGGACGAUGAUGUUCUUGGGGCAAGGCUAGCUGAUGGAAGGCCUGCAUCGCCCGCCUGCUCGGGCGUCGGUUUGCCCUCCGAGCACAGCACCAAUGACCGUUCGGCAUCGGCCGUUGAUCCGCUCCAUGAAGUAAUCCCUCUGGAGAAGGUAGUCACCGGCCGAGAGCCGGAGCUGGACGGUAGAAGCAGCCAUGCCAGUACAACCGGAAGGUCGCACCUGAACGCAGGCGCCGCCGGCGAGGGCGCAGCAGCGUGCCCGGCAGCGUUGUUGGCGCAAUGUUCUCAGUCUGUCUUUGCUUCUUCCUCCCGCCUGCUGCCGCAUGGCCAGCACAACCGACGCAUCACGCGUCUCCGCUCCCGUCACAGUCGUCGCAGCCUCGACGACGUUGUCGACGGUGCUCCCGACGCUGAGCGAGACGGGGACAACCCCGACGAAGGGGAAGAGUUGCACGUUGCGGGUGCCGGCGUGGGCGUGGCCCGUCGUCCCGAGCGGCGCACCGCCGUUGGCUGCGACUGGUGCGACGCGAACCCCACCGCCAACAACGCGGCAUGUCGGCGCUGCCACAACCGCUGCGCCAUGACGUGCGUCAUCUGCGAAGAAAUUGUGGAGGGCAUGUUCUUCUGGCUUCGAUCCUGUGGACAUGGCGGUCACGUGCACCACAUAGAGGAGUGGCUGCGGUACUCGCAGGAGUGCCCCAAGUGCGGUGUUCCCAUCACACAGACGUGGAAGGGCAACUGAGCGCAGGGGCGCGGGGCAUCUCACGGAUGCGAGGGAGUUUCUGCACGGUUGUGCGUACGGGUGUAUGUUUUGGGGGGUGCACCUGUGGGAACCGCGAAGAAGGCAACAAAAAACCGCUCUAUGCUGAGAGGCUCCAUACCUUUUCGUAAAUGCAUGUGGCUGUAGCUCUGCAUGUACUGCUGACACAAC
rnacentral:misc_RNA from 1 species